UACGGGGGGGGGCAAGCUUGUCGUCGAAUUAUUGGGCGUAAAGCGCGUGUAGGCGGCUUUGCAAGUCGGGUGUGAAAGCCCUCAGCUCAACUGAGGAAGUGCGCCCGAAACUGCAGAGCUUGAGUGCCGGAGAGGGUGGCGGAAUUCCCCAAGUAGAGGUGAAAUUCGUAGAUAUGGGGAGGAACACCGGUGGCGAAGGCGGCCACCUGGACGGUAACUGACGCUGAGACGCGAAAGCGUGGGGAGCAAACAGG
rnacentral:rRNA from 1 species